AUACCAGCUGGCUGCAACUGUUUAAUAAAAACACAGCACUGUGCAAACACGAAAGUGGACGUAUACGGUGUGACGCCUGCCCGGUGCUGGAAGGUUAAUUGAUGGGGUCAGCCGCAAGGCGAAGCUCUUGAUCGAAGCCCCAGUAAACGGCGGCCGUAACUAUAACGGUCCUAAGGUAGCGAAAUUCCUUGUCGGGUAAGUUCCGACCUGCACGAAUGGCGUAAUGAUGGCCAGGCUGUCUCCACCCGAGACUCAGUGAAAUUGAACUCGCUGUGAAGAUGCAGUGUACCCGCGGCAAGACGGAAAGACCCCGUGAACCUUUACUAUAGCUUGACACUGAACAUUGAGCCUUGAUGUGUAGGAUAGGUGGGAGGCAUUGAAGUGUGGACGCCAGUCUGCAUGGAGCCAACCUUGAAAUACCACCCUUUAAUGUUUGAUGUUCUAACUCGGCCCCGUGAUCCGGGGUGAGGACAGUGUCUGGUGGGUAGUUUGACUGGGGCGGUCUCCUCCCAAAGAGUAACGGAGGAGCACGAAGGUUAGCUAAUCACGGUCGGACAUCGUGAGGUUAGUGCAAAGGCAUAAGCUAGCUUGACUGCGAGAGUGACGGCUCGAGCAGGUACGAAAGUAGGUCUUAGUGAUCCGGUGGUUCUGAAUGGAAGGGCCAUCGCUCAACGGAUAAAAGGUACUCCGGGGAUAACAGGCUGAUACCGCCCAAGAGUUCAUAUCGACGGCGGUGUUUGGCACCUCGAUGUCGGCUCAUCACAUCCUGGGGCUGAAGUAGGUCCCAAGGGUAUGGCUGUUCGCCAUUUAAAGUGGUACGCGAGCUGGGUUUAGAACGUCGUGAGACAGUUCGGUCCCUAUCUGCCGUGGGCGUUGGAAGAUUGAGAGGGGCUGCUCCUAGUACGAGAGGACCGGAGUGGACGAAUCACUGGUGUUCGGGUUGUCAUGCCAAUGGCAUUGCCCGGUAGCUAAAUUCGGAAGAGAUAACCGCUGAAAGCAUCUAAGCGGGAAACUUGCCUCGAGAUG
rnacentral:rRNA from 1 species